rnacentral:rRNA from 1 species
GACGAACGCUGGCGGCGUGCUUAACACAUGCAAGUCGAACGGAAAGGCCCUGCUUGCAGGGUGCUCGAGUGGCGAACGGGUGAGUAGCACGUGGGUGAUCUGCCCCUUACUUUGGGAUAAGCCUGGGAAACUGGGUCUAAUACUGGAUAGGACCAUGCUGUAGGUGGUGUGGUGGAAAGAUUAGUUUCGGUAAGGGAUGAGCUCGCGGCCUAUCAGCUUGUUGGUGGGGUAAUGGCCUACCAAGGCGUCGACGGGUAGCCGGCCUGAGAGGGUGGACGGCCACAUUGGGACUGAGAUACGGCCCAGACUCCUACGGGAGGCAGCAGUGGGGAAUAUUGCACAAUGGGCGCAAGCCUGAUGCAGCGACGCCGCGUGGGGGAUGACGGCCUUCGGGUUGUAAACUCCUUUCAGCCAUGACGAAGCCCUUGUGGUGACGGUAGUGGUAGAAGAAGCACCGGCUAACUACGUG